AUGUUGGCUUGCUUCCGGAAACAAAGCUGCACUACUUCUGUGUCCCCAGGACAGCUGGUGCUGCCUCAGUUUCUGAAAGCUGUACCUGUCUACAUUAACAGUCUGCGCAAAAGUGAAGUGCUGCUGCCUGGGCUGCGGAGCUCUGUGCAUCAGCGUCUACAACUGCGUAGCCUCAUUGUCUCCAUGGACACGCUGAGCACUGCUUCUCAGUUCUACCCACUUAUUCUGCCUCUGGUGAGAGACAGACAUCUAGAACAUUCUGUUCAUCCAAAUUAGUCACUGAAAUGAGACAGUUUCCUUCUCUGUAAGAAUUCAUAAUUCUCAGUUGGAUUGUUAUGGCAGAAUUUAGAGAUGCCACAUUCUUCACUACUCUAGCAAUAAAUGCAUCUACUGUACUCUCACUCUCUAUUUAUAGCAUUUUAUUUUUUUACUUAUUAUGUCAAGAUUUCUGGCACCAAAGACACAGGCAC
rnacentral:lncRNA from 1 species